AAUCAUCAUUUCAGACGACCGGAUGUCAUUCUCCUAUUUGGUGUCCAGUGAAAGGGCGGACGGUGCUGAUGAGUUGAGUGUUACCCCAAUGGGAGCACUGUAGCUGGUAGAAGACUGCUUGCUUUCAGUGGAGGGUCUCAGACCUUAAGCAGCUCUGUUAGAUCUUCAUUCAAACUUCACUAUCACAGCAUAGCCAGCCCUGACAGCAGCUGCCUGACUCUAAGGUAACAAGGACAUCGGUGGAUUAGCAAAGACAGGAAGAUAAAUGAUGUUAACACGAUAGAGGACGGCUGCUGGCUACCCAGAGGUUGGCAACCACUGAGUCUGUUGGUCAAAACCCAUUCCUUGGGUCAUCCAGCAGUGAGAAGACAGUAGGAACCGCAGAUGCUGGAGAAUCUGAGAUAACAAGGUGUACAGCUGGAUGAACACAGCAGGCCGAGCAGCUUCAGAGGAGCAGGAAGGCUGACGUUUCAGGCCUAGACGCUUCUUCAGAAAAAUUACUUUCUGGAGGGAGGAGGAUAACUUCUUCAAGAGGCUAAUGGACCUGCAUCAAAAGGCUUCCAGGCUUCACAGUUGCUGGGUGCCAGGUAGGGAGAGGAGAUCACCAUUCCCUCCAAGGCCUCAAAGAGCAACCUCACAGUCCUACCAUGGUCAGUAAAACAAGUCCCGACAAUUUCUACCACUCUGGGUAACAUUCCCAACAGCGUAUGUAUCACAUCAUGUUCUGAGGAAAGGUCACCAGACCCGAAACGUUAACUCUGUUUUCUCCUUCACAGAUGCUGCCAGACCCGUUGAGCUUCUCCAGUGAU